CACGUAGGGUGCGAGCGUUGUCCGGAAUUAUUGGGCGUAAAGAGCUCGUAGGCGGUGUGUCGCGUCGGCCGUGAAAACCUGCAGCUUAACUGUGGGCUUGCGGUCGAUACGGGCAUCACUGGAGUUCGGCAGGGGAGACUGGAAUUCCUGGUGUAGCGGUGAAAUGCGCAGAUAUCAGGAGGAACACCGGUGGCGAAGGCGGGUCUCUGGGCCAACACUGACGCUCAUGCACGAAAGCGUGGGGAGCAAACAGG
rnacentral:rRNA from 1 species